rnacentral:rRNA from 1 species
UUGGUACAAAGAGAAGCGAAGCGGUGACGUGGAGCAAACCUCAGAAAGCCAAUCUCAGUUCGGAUUGUAGGCUGCAACUCGCCUACAUGAAGUUGGAAUCGCUAGUAAUCGCGAAUCAGAAUGUCGCGGUGAAUACGUUCCCGGGUCUUGUACACACCGCCCGUCACACCACGAGAGUUUACAACACCCGAAGUCAGUGGCCUAACCGCAAGGAGGGAGCUGCCUAAGGUGGGGUAGAUGAUUGGGGUGAAGUCGUAACAAGGUAAC